rnacentral:rRNA from 1 species
AGGGGAUAACGUUUCGCAUCCGAAACGGACGCUAAUACCGCAUACGUCCUCGGGCAGAGAGCAGGGGACCCUUCAGGCUUGCGCUAUCAGAUGAGCCCAAGUCUGAUUAGCAGUUGGCGAUUGAGUGGAUGAUCAGUCACAAUACAGGAACUGGGACACGGACCUAACGACGGAUUCUUUGGAGGCACCUGGGGAAUUUUGCAUGGGGGAGAAAGGCUGAUCCAGCCAUGCAUUACGCGUGGUGUGAAGAAAGUCUUCCGGUUAUGUAAAGCACUUUAGGCUUGGGAGGAAGGGUUGUGGGUUGAAUACCCUUGCCAUCCGUUGACGUUACCGGCAGAAUAAACACCGGCUAACUCUUCCAGCAGCCGAGCGGUAAUACGAGGAGGGUGCAAGCGUUAAUCGGAAUUACUGGGCGGUAAAGCGCACGCAGGCGCGUUGUUAAGUUAGAUGUGAAAACCCCGGGGGGCUGAACCUGGGAUCUGCCAUUCUAAUUGACCUAGACUUGUAGAGGGGGGUGGAAUUCCCUGUGUAGCGGUGAAAUGCGUAGAUAUUGGGAGGAACACCAGUGGCGAAGGCGACCCCCUGGACUAAUACUGACGCUCAGGUGCGAAAGGGUGGGGAGCAAACCGGAUUAGAUACCCUGGGUAGUCCACGCCGUAAACGAAGUCCACUAACCGUUUGAAUCCUUGAGGCCUUUUAUUUCGCAGCUAACGCAUAAGUUGACCGCCUGGGAAGUACGGCCGCAAAGUUAAAAUUCAAAUGAAUUGACGGGGGGCCCCCGCACAACCGUGGAGCAUGUGGUUUAAUUUGAAGCAACGCGAAAAACCUUUCCCGACCUUGACCAUCCAAUGUACUUUUAGAGAUUGAUUGGUGCCUUCGGGAAAUUUUGGAAACAGGUGCCGCAUGGCUGUUUCAGUUCGUGUCGUGAAAUGUUGGGUUAAGUCCCGUAACGAGCGCAAACCUUGUCUUAAUUACCAGCAGGUUAUGGUGGGCACUCUAAGGAGACUGCCGGUGACAAACCGGAGGAAGGUGGGGAUGACGUCAAGUCAUCAUGGCCCUUACGGUUUGGCUACACACGUGCUACAAUGGUCGGUACAGAGGUAGCCAACCCGCGAGGGGAGCUAAUCCAUAAAACGUAGUCCGAUCGCAGUCUCCAACUCGACUGCGUGAAGUCGGAAUCGCUAGUAUCGGGAUCAAGGGUCCGGGAAUCCGUUCCGGGCGUCUACCCC